UACGUAGGGUGCGAGCGUUGUCCGGAAUUAUUGGGCGUAAAGAGCUCGUAGGCGGUCUGUCGCGUCGGAUGUGAAAUCCCAAGGCUUAACCUUGGGCCUGCAUUCGAUACGGGCAGACUAGAGUUCGGUAGGGGAGACUGGAAUUCCUGGUGUAGCGGUGAAAUGCGCAGAUAUCAGGAGGAACACCGGUGGCGAAGGCGGUUCUCUGGGCCUGUACUGACGCUGAGGAACGAAAAGCGUGGGGGAGCGAACAGG
rnacentral:rRNA from 1 species